rnacentral:rRNA from 1 species
CCUACGGGUGGCAGCAGUGAGGAAUAUUGGGCAAUGGACGAGAGUCUGAACCAGCCAAGUAGCGUGAAGGAUGACUGCCCUAUGGGUUGUAAACUUCUUUUAUAAAGGAGUAAAACAAAUCACGUGUUCCUUUUUGCAUGUGCUUUAUGAAUAAGGAUCGGCUAACUCCGUGCCAGCAGCCGCGGUAAUACGGAGGCUCCGAGCGUUAUCCGGAUUUAUUGGGUUUAAGGGGUGCGUAGAUGGGUUGUUAAGUCAGUUGUGAAAGUUUGUGGGUCAACCGUAAAAUUGCAAUUGAUACUGGCAGUCUUGAGUACAGUUGAGGUAAGUGGAAUUAGUGGUGUAGCGGUGAAAUGCUUAGAUAUCACGAAGAACCCCGAUUGCGAAGGCAGCUUACUAAACUGUGACUGACAUUGAUGCUCGAAAGUGUGGGUAUCAAACAGGAUUAGAUACCCGUGUAGUC